CUUUGAAAAAUCUAAUAUACUUUUAUUUUUAAAAUAUUUGAACAACAGUGUAACCGAUAAUUUCAUUACAUUUAAAUAAAAGUAUCUUUUCCCCAUCCUUGAAAGCUUCAAUCAAGACUUCAUAAAAGACCAGGCCCCUUGUUAGUUUACAAAAAAAGGGAGCUUCGGAAAUGGAAGUGGUCUUACUUGCUUGCUUUGCUGUUGAUAAAUGCCCUUACGUUUUCGCAGCUUAAUCUGGUAGUUGAGGCGGCUGAGUCUGUUCCUCUAUCACCAUCGGAUGAUUUCUCGAAAGAGUUGAAAGCUUUGUCUAGGAGUCGGCGAAUAACUCCACCAUCACCCAGGAUUAAUGCUCCUGUUCACUUCAAAAGCCCUCCUCCAUCACCUCGACCUCCUCCGCCGCCACGGUCACCACUACCUCCAUGUCUGUGGCGUCCACCUACUCCGUUUGGAUAAGACGAUUGUUUCCCAGCAUAAAUGAUGAGCAGCUACCCAUCAACGAGGACCUGGGUCCGCAAAGGCCAACUCAAAAACAACAAUAUCUACGUCUAUGGAGCCUGGACUGCAGAAACUGAGAAACCUCCGACUCGAAGCUCUCUGGUUCGGUGCAACUUGGACUUUCUGGGAAGGGCAUUAAAUACCCAACCACCACAUUUAUUUUGGCCACUCCACUCCAGUAAUCAUUUGACUCUGGCAGCCAAACCAAUACGAAAGUCAAGUUGAUGGGACUGGGGGUCAAAAUUCAUGCACCAAGCCAUCUACGCUGCUAGACCCAAGACCAUUCUUCAGCUUCAUGAGCCCAAUGACCAGAGCCGAAUGCUCUACGACUAGCUCCAUGAAACCCAAAAUGCAGCAAGAAACUCAAUUGUAUCGCCCCACUUUUGUUGUGUUUAGAUUGUUAAAGUAUGUUAAAUAAUUUAAUUUGGUAUGGUGGUUAAGUGUCUUAAAUGUUUGUUUUUAGGUCUUCAGUUUAAUUAUUUUAUUUUGGAUUUUUUCUAUUAAUAUUGAUAUUAUAUUAAGUUUGACUUUUUGGGUUUAUCUUUUAUUUUUAUUAGAUUGUUGAUAAGGAUAGCUUAUUGGUCUACUAAACCGUCCAUUAUAAUUUAAGUUUCGUUAAAUUA